AGAUUGGACGCUGGCGGCAUGCCUUACACAUGCAAGUCGAACGGUAGAGUAGCAAUACUUGAGAGUGGCGAACGGGUGAGUAAUACAUCGGAACGUGCCCAGUCGUGGGGGAUAACGUAGAGAAAUUUACGCUAAUACCGCAUACGAUCUAAGGAUGAAAGCGGGGGAUCGCAAGACCUCGCGCGAUUGGAGCGGCUGAUAUCAGAUUAGGUUGUUGGUGAGGUAAAAGCUCACCAAGCCGACGAUCUGUAGCUGGUUUGAGAGGACGACCAGCCACACUGGAACUGAGACACGGUCCAGACUCCGUACGGGAGGCAGCAGGUGGGGAAUUUUGGACAAGUGGGCGCAAGCCUGAUCCAGCAAUCGCCGCGUGCAGGAUGAAGGCCGUUUCGGGUUAGUAAACGUUGUACGUUUUUGGUAACCGGAACGUAAACGGUUCUACUUACGUAAUACGAGGGUACUAAGUCGUAACCGGUAACCGUAAGAAUAAGACCGACCGGACUAACGUACGUCG
rnacentral:rRNA from 1 species